rnacentral:rRNA from 1 species
GAUGAACGCUGGCGGCGUGCCUAAUACAUGCAAGUCGAGCGAACAGACGAGGAGCUUGCUCCUCUGACGUUAGGGGCGGACGGGUGAGUAACACGUGGAUAACCUACCUAUAAGACUGGGAUAACUUCGGGAAACCGGAGCUAAUACCGGAUAAUAUAUUGAACCGCAUGGUUCAAUAGUGAAAGACGGUUUUGCUGUAACUUAUAGAUGGAUCCGCGCCGCAUUAGCUAGUUGGUAAGGUCACGGCUUACCAAGGCAACGAGGCGUAGACGACGUGAGAGAGUGGUAGGCCGCCUGGGAGCGUGACCAGGGACAAUGCUCCUGCGGGAGGCACCAGUCGGGUAUGGGCCGCAAUAGGGGGGAGCCUUACGGAGCGGCGGCGCGUGAGUGAUGAAGGUCUUCGGAGCGUAAAACUCGGUUAUUAGGGAAGAACAAAUGUGGAAGGAACUGUGCACGGCUUGACGGUACCUAAUCAGAAAGCCACGGCUAACUACGUG